UACGGAGGGUGCAAGCGUUAUCCGGAUUCACUGGGUUUAAAGGGUGCGUAGGUGGGCAGUUAAGUCAGUGGUGAAAUCUCCGGGCUCAACCCGGAAUUGCCAUUGAUACUAUCUGUCUUGAAUAUCGUGGAGGUAAGCGGAAUAUGUCAUGUAGCGGUGAAAUGCUUAGAUAUGACAUAGAACACCAAUUGCGAAGGCAGCUUACUACCCGAAUAUUGACACUGAGGCACGAAAGCGUGGGGAUCAAACAGG
rnacentral:rRNA from 1 species